rnacentral:rRNA from 1 species
UGCCAGCCGCCGCGGUAAUACGAAGGGACCUAGCGUAGUUCGGAAUUACUGGGCUUAAAGAGCUCGUAGGUGGUUAAAAAAGUUGAUGGUGAAAUCCCAAGGCUCAACCUUGGAACUGCCAUUAAAACUUUUCAGCUAGAGUAUGAUAGAGGAAAGCAGAAUUUCUAGUGUAGAGGUGAAAUUCUAUGAUUUAUAGAAGAAUGUCAGAGGCGAAGGCGGCUAUCUGGAUUAUUACUGACGUUGAGGAACGAAAGCGUAGGGAGCAAACAGGAUUAGAUA